CCGAUCCUCCCACCCUUUGUGUACCUACCUCUGUUGCUUUGGCGGGCCGCGGUCCUCCGCGGCCGCCCCCCUCCCCGGGGGGGUGGCCAGCGCCCGCCAGAGGACCAUCAAACUCCAGUCAGUAAACGAUGCAGUCUGAAAAACAUUUAAUAAACUAAAACUUUCAACAACGGAUCUCUUGGUUCUGGCAUCGAUGAAGAACGCAGCGAAAUGCGAUAAGUAAUGUGAAUUGCAGAAUUCAGUGAAUCAUCGAAUCUUUGAACGCACAUUGCGCCCUUUGGUAUUCCGAAGGGCAUGCCUGUUCGAGCGUCAUUACAACCCUCAAGCUCUGCUUGGUAUUGGGCACCGUCCUUUGCGGGCGCGCCUCAAAGACCUCGGCGGUGGCGUCUUGCCUCAAGCGUAGUAGAACAUACAUCUCGCUUCGGAGCGCAGGGCGUCGCCCGCCGGACGAACCUUCUGAACUUUUCUCAAGGUUGACCUCGGAUCAGGUAGGGAUACCCGCUGAACUUAAGCAUAUCAAUAAGCGGAGG
rnacentral:rRNA from 1 species